rnacentral:lncRNA from 1 species
CCCAUUCAUAAUAGUGGAAACAAGUAUCAUCAAUCACCCAUUCAUAAUAGUAGAAACAAGUAUCAUCAAUCACCCAUUCAUAAUAGUAGAAACAAGUAUCAUCAAUCACCCAUUCAUAAUAGUAGAAACAAGUAUCAUCAAUCACCCAUUCAUAAUAGUGGAAACAAGUAUCAUCAAUCACCCAUUCAUAAUAGUGGACUAUUCCACCCUGACAGAGUUCCAGUGAAUUGUUUCGCACCGUAUUGAUUGCAAACGCGACUUUCGUGAAAUUAAGCUGAAGCAAUGAGGUGUUUCAGAGCGGGGCAGCUGCAGCAAUGAGAUGCUUUCAGAGCGGGGCAGCUGCAGCAAUGAGAUGCUUUCAGAGCGGGGCAGCUGCAGCAAUGAGAUGCUUUCAGAGCGGGGCAGCUGCAGUAAUGAGGUGUUUCAGAGCGGGGCAGCUGCAGCAAUGAGAUGCUUUCGGAGCGGGGCAGCUGCAGCAAUGAGAUGCUUUCAGAGCGGGGCAGCUGCAGCAAUGAGGUGCUUUCAGAGCGGGGCAGCUGCAGCAAUGAGAUGCUUUCAGAGCGGGGCAGCUGCAGCAAUGAGAUGCUUUCAGAGUGGGGCAGCUGCAGCAAUUAUGUGUUUUCAGAGCGGGGCAGCUGCAGCAAUGAGAUGCUUUCAGAGCGGGGCAGCUGCAGCAAUGAGAUGCUUUCAGAGCGGGGCAGCUGCAGUAAUGAGGUGUUUCAGAGCGGGGCAGCUGCAGCAAUGAGAUGCUUUCAGAGCGGGGCAGCUGCAGCAAUGAGAUGCUUUCAGAGCGGGGCAGCUGCAGCAAUGAGGUGCUUAAAGAGCGGGGCAGCUGCAGUAAUGAGAUGCUUUCAGAGCGGGGCAGCUGCAGUAAUGAGGUGUUUCAGAGCGGGGCAGCUGCAGCAAUGAGGUGCUUAAAGAGCGGGGCAGCUGCAGUAAUGAUGUGUUUCAGAGCAGGGCAGCUGCAGCAAUGAGAUGCUUUCAGAGCGGGGCAGCUGCAGCAAUGAGAUGCUUUCAGAGCGGGGCAGCUGCAGCAAUGAGAUGCUUUCAGAGCAGGGCAGCUGCAGUAAUGAGAUGCUUUCAGAGCAGGGCAGCUGCAGCAAUGAGAUGCUUUCAGAGCGGGGCAGCUGCAGUAAUGAGAUGCUUUCAGAGCGGGGCAGCUGCAGCAAUGAGAUGCUUUCAGAGCGGGGCAGCUGCAGUAAUGAGGUGUUUCAGAGCGGGGCAGCUGCAGCAAUGAGAUGAUUUCAGAGCGGGGCAGCUGCAGCAAUGAGAUGCUUUCAGAGCGGGGCAGCUGCAGCAAUGAGAUGUUUUCAGAGCGGGGCAGCUGCAGUAAUGAGGUGCUUUCAGAGCGGGGCAGCUGCAGUAAUGAGGUGCUUUCAGAGCAGGGCAGCUGCAGUAAUGAGGUGCUUUCAGAGCAGGGCAGCUGCAGUAAUGAGGUGCUUUCAGAGCUGGCAGAGAAAAGAAAUAACAAAUAUUUAAUUUUAACAGAAACAUUACAUAAGUUAACGCAUUUCUUUAGUAAAGAUACAUUUGCUGCUGAUAAUACUGCCAUCGUUGUGGAGACAAACAACAACGUCUGUUUAGCCCAUGUAUCUGAUGCUGUCUGGCUAAAAAUAGUAUGGAAUGUCAUACUCCUUUUGUCCAGACAGCAUCAGAUACAUGCGCUACAUAUAGUAAGACAGAGGGGCGCUGUUUCGCUCGCUUGGAUACUUUCUCCGGUGAGAUGGUUUCAUCCACUUGCAAUUGAAGGAAAGUUGACGGGUGCACAGUGCACUGUUAGGAUGCUGGAAUUAUUUUUGGAUUAACGUGAGAAGGUAACCUACUUUUUUGAAGUGAUUUGUUUGACAAAUCACACUGGCCUCUGCCUGGGGUCUCCAUAUCACUAAGUCCGCCCCCUGAGCUGGACACAACAUUUUGGAACUUUUGAAUCUGUAUCAAAUUAUAUCUAAUGAAAAGUAAUGACAUAAAACCUGUGGAAACAGCCCGUAUAAAAUACAAAUAAAUUGUUUUCUUAAGCCAAUCAACAUUUGUCCUUAGCUGCAGAUAAUGCAAUCCCUCAAUCUGUAGCCUACCACCGCUCUGAGGAUCAAUAUCGCUUAUGUUCCAGCGCCCUCUGUUGAAUAUGAGCAGUCAUUACAUCAUGUCUACAGACUCCAUUCAAUUGACGGUCCGCAGGCAAACGUUAAAGGUGCGAAACCUGACUUCUCCUGUUCA